rnacentral:pre_miRNA from 1 species
UUGCUACUUCCUCCGUUCUGAAUUACUCGUCGCGAAAAUAGACAUAUCUAGAUGUAUUUUAGUUUUAGAUACAUUUAUUUCUGCGACAAGUAAUUUGAAACGGAGGGAGUAGAUU